CCUACGGGGGACAGCAGUGAGGAAUAUUGGUCAAUGGACGAGAGUCUGAACCAGCCAAGUAGCGUGAAGGAUGACUGCCCUAUGGGUUGUAAACUUCUUUUAUAUGGGAAUAAAAUGUUCCACGUGUGGGAUUUUGUAUGUACCAUAUGAAUAAGGAUCGGCUAACUCCGUGCCAGCAGCCGCGGUAAUACGGAGGAUCCGAGCGUUAUCCGGAUUUAUUGGGUUUAAAGGGAGCGUAGGUGGAUUGUUAAGUCAGUUGUGAAAGUUUGCGGCUCAACCGUAAAAUUGCAGUUGAAACUGGCAGUCUUGAGUACAGUAGAGGUGGGCGGAAUUCGUGGUGUAGCGGUGAAAUGCUUAGAUAUCACGAAGAACUCCGAUUGCGAAGGCAGUUCACUGGACUGCAACUGACACUGAGGCUCGAAAGUGUGGGUAUCAAACAGGACUAGAUACCCCGGUAGUC
rnacentral:rRNA from 1 species